UCUUUGCGGAAGAGUGCAGUGUGUCAACGUGGGAAGAAUUUCAAGCACUACAACUGGACAAGGCGUAGUACAGACUCCAGUGGCGGGUACAACGUGCUGGGGGACAGAAUUUGACCUUGGGGAGGACAUCUAUGACCUCGGAGCUGUGCGCGACGGGACCACCUGUGGCCUUGGCAAGAUAUGCAUAAAUAGGUCGUGUGUUGACGUGGAUGUGCUGAAUUAUGACUGUGAUCUCUCAGUAUGUAGCAGACGAGGAAUCUGCAACAGCAACCGGAACUGCCAUUGCUCGUACGGAUGGGCCCCUCCCUUCUGCAUCCAACCAGGGUUUGGGGGGAGCAUUGACAGCGGCCCCCCUCCUCCCUAUCGGA